CAGAGAUUUAUCCUCGUACCUUUUGCAUCAUGAUUUAGCCAGCACCCCCAAGCGAAGAGAACUUUAGUUUGAGACCCCGAAACUGCGGUGAGCUACUCCAAGACAGCCUAUUUAUAGGGCAAACCCGUCUCUGUGGCAAAAGAGUGGGAAGAACUUCGAGUAGGGGUGACAGACCUAUCGAACCCAGUUAUAGCUGGUUGCCCGAGAAUUGGAUAGAAGUUCAGCCUCAUGGCUUCUCCCUAAACCACGAGAGUUAGUCAAAUGGGGUACAGCCCCUUUGAACCAAGACACAACUUUUUAAGAAGGAUAAAGAUCAUAAUUGUUAAGGCAAAAUGUUUGGGUGGGCUUAAGAGCAGCCAUCCCAACAGAAAGCGUUAAAGCUCGAACAUACUAUCCCGAUAUUCAUAUCUUAAUCCCCUAACAUUACCGGGCCUCCCCAUACAUUUUUAUGGGGGCGACCCUGCUAGAAUGAGUAAUAAGAGAGCCCUCUCUCCCAGCACAUGUGUAUCUCGGAACGGACCCCCCACCGAACAUUAACGGCCCCAAACAAAGAGGGCACUGGACAAAAACUAGAAAACCGUCCGCCGUUGACCCUACACUGGUGUGCCUCCAGGAAAGACUAAAAGAAAAAGAAGGAACUCGGCAAAAAAGCCUCGCCUGUUUACCAAAAACAUCGCCUCUUGCAAGAAUAAGAGGUCCCGCCUGCCCGGUGACAUUAGUUUAACGGCCGCGGUACUCUAACCGUGCGAAGGUAGCGUAAUCACUUGUCUUUUAAAUGAAGACCUGUAUGAAUGGCAUAACGAGGGCUUAACUGUCUCCUUUUUCCAGUCAAUGAAAUUGAUCUCCCCGUGCAGAAGCGGGGAUAGUAACAUAAGACGAGAAGACCCUAUGGAGCUUUAGACACUAAGACAGACCAAGUUAAAUACCCCACAAUAAAGGGCCGAACUCAUUGAUCCCCUGUCCUAAUGUCUUCGGUUGGGGCGACCAUGGGAGAACACAAAACCCCCAUGUGGAAUAGGAGGACUCCCACAAGCAAGAGUUACAACUCUAGCUAACAGAACUUCUGACCUUAACACGAUCCGGCUUACGCCGAUCAACGGACCAAGUUACCCUAGGGAUAACAGCGCAAUCCCCUUUUAGAGGCCAUAUCGACAAGGGGGUUUACGACCUCGAUGUUGGAUCAGGACAUCCUAAUGGUGCAG
rnacentral:rRNA from 1 species